AGAGUUUGAUCAUGGCUCAGAAUGAACGCUGGCGGCAUGGAUUAGGCAUGCAAGUCGAACGAUGAAGCCUAGCUUGCUAGGUGAAUUAGUGGCGAAAGGGUGAGUAACGCGUGAGCAACCUGCCCUCAAGAUUGGGACAACACCUGGAAACGGGUGCUAAUACCGGAUGUGCUUAUAAUGACUAUGUUAUACUAAGUAAAUAUUUAUAGCUUGAGGAUGGGCUCGCGUUCCAUUAGCUAGUUGGUAAGGUAACGGCUUACCAAGGCAACGAUGGACAGCUGGUCUGAGAGGAUGACCAGCCACACUGGGACUGAGAUACUGCCCAGACUCCUACGGGAGGCUGCAGUCGAGAAUCUUCCGCAAUGCGCGAAAGCGUGACGGAGCAAUGCCGCGUGCAGGAUGAAGGCCCUUGGGUUGUAAACUGCUGUCACUAGGGAUGAAUAAAAUGACAGUACCUAGAGAGGAAGCACCGGCUAACUACGUGCCAGCAGCCGCGGUAAUACGUAGGGUGCGAGCGUUAUUCGGAUUUAUUGGGCGUAAAGGGUCCGCAGGGUGUAAUUUAAGUCAGAUGUGAAAUCCAACGGCUCAACCGUUGAACUGCAUUUGAAACUGAAUUACUAGAGUAUCGGAGAGGUGAAUGGAAUUCUUGGAGUAGCGGUGGAAUGCGUAGAUAUCAAGAAGAACACCAAAAGCGAAGGCAGUUCACUGGCCGAUUACUGACCCUCAUGGACGAAAGCGUGGGUAGCGAAAAGGAUUAGAUACCCUUGUAGUCCACGCUGUAAACGUUGUGUACUAGGUGUAGGA
rnacentral:rRNA from 1 species